rnacentral:rRNA from 1 species
CCUACGGGAGGCUGCAGUGAGGAAUAUUGGUCAAUGGGCUUACGCCUGAACCAGCCAAGUCGCGUGAGGGAAGACUGCCCUAUGGGUUGUAAACCUCUUUUGUCAGGGAGCAACGCCGGCUACGUGUAGCCGGACUGAGAGUACCUGAAGAAAAAGCAUCGGCUAACUCCGUGCCAGCAGCCGCGGUAAUAUGGAGGAUGCGAGCGUUAUCCGGAUUUAUUGGGUUUAAAGGGAGCGUAGGUGGAUUGUUAAGUCAGUGGUUAAAGUUUGCGGCUCAACCGUAAAAUUGCAGUUGAAACUGGCAGUCUUGAGUACAGUAGAGGUGGGCGGAAUUCGUGGUGUAGCGAUGAAAUGCUUAGAUAUCACGAAGAACUCCGAUUGCGAAGGCAGCUCACUGGACUGCAACUGACACUGAGGCUCGAAAGUGUGGGUAUCAAACAGGAUUAGAUACCCUAGUAGUC